AACAAGGUCUCCGUUGGUGAACCAGCGGAGGGAUCAUUA
rnacentral:rRNA from 129 species